GGGUUGGCUGCUGACGGGCUGAUCCUGGGGUUGGCUGCUGACGGGCUGAUCCUGGGGUUGGUUGUUGACGGGCUGAUCCUGGGGUUGGCUGUUGACGGGCUGAUCCUGGGGUUGGCUGUUGACGGGCUGAUCCUGGGGUUGGCUGCUGAUGGGCUGAUCCUGGGGUUGGCUGUUGACGGGCUGGUCCUGGGGUUGGCUGUUGAUGGGCUGGUCCUGGGGUUGGUUGUUGACGGGCUGAUCCUGGGGUUGGCUGUUGACGGGCUGAUCCUGGGGUUGGCUGUUGAUGGGCUGGUCCUGGGGUUGGUUGUUGAUGGGCUGAUCCUGGGGUUGGUUGUUGACGGGCUGAUCCUGGGGUUGGUUGUUGACGGGCUGGUCCUGGCUGAGGGUCAACUCAUUCUCUUUUUCCAACUUGCUGUCAGAUUCCGAAUUGACAGAGACAUGAUCUUCAUAUCGC
ensembl:lncRNA